UAGAUACCCUGGUAGUCCACGCCGUAAACGAUGAUUACUAGGUGUUGGGGGUCGAACCUCAGCGCCCAAGCUAACGCGAUAAGUAAUCCGCCUGGGGAGUACGUACGCAAGUAUGAAACUCAAAGGAAUUGACGGGGACCCGCACAAGCGGUGGAGCAUGUGGUUUAAUUCGACGCAACGCGAGGGACCUUACCAGCGUUUGACAUCUUAGGAAGAAUACAGAGAUGUGUUUGUGCUCCUUCGGGAGAAC
rnacentral:rRNA from 1 species